rnacentral:rRNA from 1 species
GACGAACGCUGGCUGCGUGCUUAACACAUGCGAGUCGAACGGAAAGGCCCUGCUUUUGUGGGGUGCUCGAGUGGCGAACGGGUGAGUAACACGUGAGUAACCUGCCCUUGACUUUGGGAUAACUUCAGGAAACUGGGGCUAAUACCGGAUAGGAGCUCCUGCUGCAUGGUGGGGGUUGGAAAGUUUCGGCGGUUGGGGAUGGACUCGCGGCUUAUCAGCUUGUUGGUGGGGUAGUGGCUUACCAAGGCUUUGACGGGUAGCCGGCCUGAGAGGGUGACCGGCCACAUUGGGACUGAGAUACGGCCCAGACUCCUACGGGAGGCAGCAGUGGGGAAUAUUGCACAAUGGGCGGAAGCCUGAUGCAGCAACGCCGCGUGCGGGAUGACGGCCUUCGGGUUGUAAACCGCUUUCGCCUGUGACGAAGCGUGAGUGACGGUAAUGGGUAAAGAAGCACCGGCUAACUACGUG